UACGAAGGGGGCUAGCGUUGUUCGGAAUUACUGGGCGUAAAGCGCACGUAGGCGGAUACUUAAGUCAGGGGUGAAAUCCCGGGGCUUAACCCCCGGAACUGCCUUUGAUACUGGGUAUCUCGAGUCCGGAAGAGGUGAGUGGAAUUCCGAGUGUAGAGGUGAAAAUUCGUAGAUAUUCGGAGGAACACCAGUGGCGAAGGCGGCUCACUGGUCCGGUACUGACGCUGAGGUGCGAAAGCGUGGGGAGCAAACAGGG
rnacentral:rRNA from 1 species